ensembl:lncRNA
CUAGCUCCAUCCCCCCUCCCCACAGACGCACUCCAAACUCCACAUAUUCUCUGCUGUCUCUCUCUCACACGAGCCCCAUCCGCAAGAUAUGACUUGCAUGUACGCCUUGUCCUUCCCAAGGGAACAUACACUGCCAGGGCAAAGCCAGCGCAGCUCUGAUCUUCCUACAGCAGGGGUGGAAGGACCCAGGAGAGUCUCUCCUAGAAGCCAGUGGGGCAAGGACCCAGCUACAUCAGAGGCCGGAGAGCAAGAUUUCACGGUUUGCUUUAGAAGAAGAAGAAAAAUAUAUAUCAGCUCCCGAUUCCUGUGCAGAUAAAACUCGAGUGAAGAAAAGAGCAGGGAGCUGGAGCCUGCAUGUGAUACAGGCGAUCCCUGGGUCCGAUAUCCUCCCCCAGCUGCAAGACUUGGCCAUAGAGGGAUACACAGAUUGAGAACGAGAGCCAGGCCUUGAGACACUGUGGCCUUCAGCGUGAGCCUCUUUCUAGGUGGCGUUAGCCCAGACCUCAUGCCAGAAGCGGAGCCUCCUGUUCCUUCCACACACGUGAACCAGCGAUGGCCUCUAUUGCACGCGUCUGUAACGCACCCUGCAUGAGACUGGAUCCGAACAGAGCGUGCAGAACAGUCCAUCACUGGCUCUGACUCUGGUACCGGUCAGCUUCCCCCGCAUGUGUCCCUGGCCUAUCGUCACCCCUGUAUCUGUCCUGUAGACUCGAGUCCAGAGUGGGUACGAGGUAGAAGCCAGCACAGGGCGGAGAGUAACGUGUGUAAAUGGGAGGCCCUGGGGAACCUUAUCCCUCUAACGAGGGCCUGGGCACAGCAGGCCCCUAGAGACCCGGGUCAUUAAGGCCUUUCAGCAGCCGCAAAUCGCGCACCUCCUGGAUUGCAGAACUAAGGUGCCGCUCCCAGGGCAGAGUUAGCUCGGCUCCAAGCCCCCCCCCACCCCCGGCCCCUUAGCGGCUUCCCGGCGAGGCAAUGCAAACCCCGCUGGGCUAGGCGGCUGCUAAAUCGAAAAUGAAAAUGCCCAGCGCCCGCCAGCCCUAGAUCUGGCCAACGGGAGAGAGCUGCGGAGCCCUGCUCUGUUCCAGGGACAGGCGAGCAGCUUCCAGCCCUCCCCUUACCCCUUCUCUAGGGCUGGAGCAGCUCGACCCGGGGCGGGGGGGGGCGAUUUCAUCUCUGAGAAGCCACCUAGAGGCGGUUCUCUCUCUCCCUCUCUCUCUCCCCAGUGGCUCGCUGCGCCCUCCCCUCUGAUCAUGUUGACAUAUUCACACGCCAUGGAGUAGUAGUGAUGCUUUGCUGCAGCGUUACAGUUUCCGACACCUUCUUUUUAUAACUCGGCUCUGUCCCCCUCCACCCGACCUGUCAAAACCACGCCUAUGGAGCCACACAAUUGGUCCGAAAGCGUCAAAGAGCCAAUCAAGUAGGCUCCAGCUCCCCUGCGACCCAUAACACAUCCCUACAAUCUGGUGCACGGGAAGCAGAGCUCACAGGGAAUUCUUGGAGCUGAAAGUCGCUCGCUCUCUCUCCCCUCUGCUGGAGUGUGUUGGAGCGGAGACCGGGGUGUAAUUCCGAAUAAAAAAGGCAGGGAGAGAGAGAGAGAAGGGAAG